rnacentral:rRNA from 1 species
AUUGAACGCUGGCGGCAUGCCUUACACAUGCAAGUCGAACGGCAGCACGGGUGCUUGCACCUGGUGGCGAGUGGCGAACGGGUGAGUAAUACAUCGGAACGUACCUUAUCGUGGGGGAUAACGCAGCGAAAGCUGUGCUAAUACCGCAUACGCCCUGAGGGGGAAAGCGGGGGAUCGCAAGACCUCGCGCGAUUAGAGCGGCCGAUGCCUGAUUAGCUUGUUGGUGGGGUAAAAGCCCACCAAGGCGACGAUCAGUAGCUGGUCUGAGAGGACGAUCAGCCACAGUGGGACUGAGACACGGCCCAGACUCCUACGGGAGGCAGCAGUGGGGAAUUUUGGACAAUGGGGGCAACCCUGAUCCAGCAAUGCCGCGUGAGUGAAGAAGGCCUUCGGGUUGUAAAGCUCUUUUGUCAGGGAAGAAACACCGGCUCUAACACAGUCCGGGAAUGACGGUACCUGAAGAAUAAGCACCGGCUAACUACGUGCCAGCAGCCGCCGUAA